AUAUAAAACAUAUUACCGUAAAAUCAUCAAGUGAAUGGACAUAUGCAAAAAUUUGCAGCGAUUAUCCCUUAGAGAUUGAUUUUAUUCUUCAAGUUGAUUUGAAUGUUGAUGAUAAUGUUUCGGAUUAUUAUUGGAGUUUUGAUUACUUACACCUUUGCAAUGAAAAUGAUCAACGAUAUAUUGAACAUGAAACUGAAUAUUUUGAAAACGUAACAUGUAUAGAAGGCUAUAAAGAAAUGAAAGUUGACCCUAAUCAAACUAACAUUUAUAAACAACAUUGUGGCAAAGAAAUAUUAAAAGAGUGUUUAAAUGUUGAUGUAUGUCAUAUUUGCUGUCGGGGGACUUGCUACAUUGUUGAUCAAUAUUCUAGAACUGACAAAUUAGUAACUGCGAUUGCAGUCCUUGGAACACUGUUCAUUACCUUAUUAAUUAUAAAUGUGGUUCAAUUUUGGUGUUUUUGUAGAAGUAGGCCAAAUAAACAUCCAGAAAUUGAAGUGAACCAUUAUACACAGCCAAGUACUUGUCAUGAAUACGAGUACAUAAUGGAACCGAAUGUGUUUUAUCAAGCUCAUUGAAUUACAUAUGAAUAAUUUACUUUAAUUUACUUUAAAUUAAUUAAUUUAAAUAAAUAAAAAUUGGUUUAAUCAUU